GUGCCAGCAGCCGCGGUAAUACCAGCUCUCCGAGUGGUGUGGACGAUUAUUGGGCCUAAAGCAUCCGUAGCCGGCUGGGCAAGUCCCCUGUUAAACCCAACGAUUCAAUCGUUGGCUCGCGGGGGAUACUGCUCGGCUAGGGGGCGAGAGAGGCCGUCGGUAUUCCCGGGGUAGGGGUGAAAUCCUAUAAUCCCGGGAGGACCACCAGUGGCGAAGGCUGUCGGCUAGAACGCGCUCGACGGUGAGGGAUGAAAGCUGGGGGAGCGAACCGGAUUAGAUACCCGGGUAGUCCCAGCUGUAAACGAUGCAGGCUAGGUGUUAGGGCGGCCACGUGCCGCUCUAGUGCCGCAGGGAAGCUGUUAAGCCUGCCGCCUGGGGAGUACGGUCGCAAGGCUGAAACUUAAAGGAAUUGGCGGGG
rnacentral:rRNA from 1 species